rnacentral:rRNA from 1 species
AUUGAACGCUGGCGGCGUGCCUAAUACAUGCAAGUCGAGCGAAGAGGGGACGGGUGAGUAACACGUGGAGAACCUCCUCUACGGCUGGGAUAAAUUCGGGAAACCGGAGCUAAAACGGAUAAUUUUCGCUGGAUGCACGUUGCAUUAGCUAGUUGGUAAGGUAACGGCUUACCAAGGCCACGAUGCCUAGCCGACCUGAGAGGGUGAUCGGCCACACUGGAACGGAGACACGGUCCAGACUCCUACGGGAGGCAGCAGUAGGGAAUCUUGCGCAAUGGGCGAAAGCCUGACGGAGCAACGCCGCGUGAGUGAUGAAGGUCUUCGGAUCGUAAAGCUCUGUUAUUAGGGAAGCGUUACCUACUCAGAAAGCCACGGCUAACUACGUGCCAGCAGCCGCGGUAAUAC